rnacentral:rRNA from 1 species
GCCCUACGGGGGGCAGCAGUGGGGAAUAUUGGGCAAUGGGCGCAAGCCUGACCCAGCAACGCCGCGUGAAGGAAGAAGGCCCUCGGGUUGUAAACUUCUUUUAUUCGGGACGAAACAGAUGACGGUACCGAAUGAAUAAGCCACGGCUAACUACGUGCCAGCAGCCGCGGUAAUACGUAGGGGGCAAGCGUUAUCCGGAUUUACUGGGUGUAAAGGGGGCGCAGACGGCAGCGCAAGCC